GGAGAGCUGAAGAAGUCCUCUCCGGGAUCGCUUGUCAACGCAGAACACAGAGGACUAUCUCCCAAAGUAAUCACAGGCUUUAUGAGUCUAAUGUGUAAAUACCGGUCAGGUUAUUAAUGUUGUUGUCCUCGGGGAGAGAAGACCUCAGGCUUUAUGAGUCUAAUGUGUAAUUACUGGUCAGGUUAUUAAUGUUGUUUUCCUCGGGGAGAGAAGACCUCAGGCUUUAUGAGUCUAAUGUGCAAUUACUGGUCAGGUUAUUAAUGUGGGAAUGUUGUCCUCGGGGAGAGAAGACCUCAGGCUUUAUGAGUCUGUGUAGUUACUGGUCAGGUUAUUAAUGUUGUUCUCCUCAGGGGAGAAAAGACCUCAGGCUUUGAGUCUAAUGUGUAAUUACUGGUCAGGUUAUUAAUGUUGUUGUCCACAGGCUUUGAGUCUAAUGUGUAAUUACUGGUCAGGUUAUUAAUGUUGUUGUCCACAGGCUUUGAGUCUAAUGUGUAAUUACUGGUCAGGUUAUUAAUGUUGUUGUCCUCGAGGAGAGAAGACCACAGGCUUUAUGAGUCUAAUGUGUAGUUACUGGUCAGGUUAUUAAUGUUGUUGUCCUCGAGGAGAGAAGACCACAGGCUUUAUGAGUCUAAUGUAUAAUUACUGGUCAGGUUAUUAAUGUUGUUGUCCUCAGGCUUUAUGAGUCUAAUGUGUAAUUACUGGUCAAGUUAUUAAUGUUGUUGUCCUCAGGCUUUAUGAGUCUAAUGUGUAAUUACUGGUCAGGUUAUUAAUGUUGUCCACAGGCUUUAUGAGUCUAAUGUGUAAUUACUGGUCAGGUUAUUAAUGUUGUUGUCUACAGGCUUUAUGAGUCUAAUGUGUAAUUACUGGUCAGGUUAUUAAUGUUGUUGUCCUCGAGGAGAGAAGACCUCAGGCUUUAUGAGUCUAAUGUAUAAUUACUGGUCAGGUUAUUCAUGUGUAAUUACCGGUCAGGUUAUUAAUGUUGUCGCUUCCUUCUGAAUCCUCAUUUCUGUAUUUUAUUUCAACAGAUGAGUCUGGGAGUGACAGAGUUGAAAUGAUGGAGAUGCAACCCUUACUGGGUCCUGGAUCAGGAGAGAUAGGCAAGACAGGCUGUUGAAGCACUGGGAGAUCAGGAGAGAGAGGCAAGACAGGCUGUUGAUGCUCUGGAAGAUCAGGAGAGAGAGGGAAGACAGGCUGUUGAUGCUCUGGAAGAUCAGGAGAGAGGGAAGACAGGCUGUUGAAGCUCUGGAAGAUCAGGAGAGAGGGAAGACAGGCUGUUGAUGCUCUGGAAGAUCAGGAGAGAGAGGCAAGACAGGCUGUUGAUGCUCUGGAAGAUCAGGAGAGAGAGGCAAGACAGGCUGUUGAUGCUCUGGAAGAUCAGGAGAGAGAGGCAAGACAGGCUGUUGAUGCUCUGGAAGAUCAGGAGAGAGAGGCAAGACCGGCUGUUUCUGAGAGUGAGAGUGAGAGUGAGACCUUCUCUCAAGCGGGAUGGAGUUUUUUUUCAUAGUUUUUUUUUUUUAAGGAGAUCGGAAUUCCAACCUCCUUAAGCAUCUUUAUUUAAAUGUGGACGGUACAGCGGGGAAUGUAGAGAUGGAG
rnacentral:lncRNA from 1 species